rnacentral:rRNA from 1 species
GGGGAAUAUUGCACAAUGGGGGAAACCCUGAUGCAGCGACGCCGCGUGAGUGAAGAAGGUCUUCGGAUCGUAAAACUCUGUCCUUGGUGACGAAGGAAGUGACGGUAACCAAGGAGGAAGCCCCGGCUAACUACGUGCCAGCAGCCGCGGUAAUACGUAGGGGGCGAGCGUUGUCCGGAUUUACUGGGCGUAAAGGGUGAGUAGGCGGUCAUAUAAGUCAGGUGUAAAAAGCUAAGGCUUAACCAUAGUAAGCACUUGAAACUGUAUGACUUGAGUGCAGGAGAGGUAAGCGGAAUUCCUAGUGUAGCGGUGAAAUGCGUAGAUAUUAGGAGGAACACCGGUGGCGAAGGCGGCUUACUGGACUGUAACUGACGCUGAGUCACGAAAGCGUGGGUAGCAAAC